CUUGCCUCCCAGGUUCCUUUUCUCUCACGCCCUGGGCUGGGUCCUAGGUCCAGCUUUUUGUCCUACUCAAAAGAGUUCCCCAGUGGGGAGAGCCUGUGCUUUCAUGCAGAACUAAAAUUGCGUGAGUUUCCCAGCUCAGAUCACUCUUGACUCUACUUUAUAAAACUUGGGGCGUAUAGAGUGCUGCCAUAACACAGUAUUAAGUAAUUGUUCACCUUUAACAAAAGAUGUCUGAAGAUAACGUGGUUGUCAACUGUGUCCUUCACUUAUGUCACUGAUGCCUUUCUGUCUUCCUUGGGAGUUAGGAAAACAGCCUUAGCAAAGUGAUUAUUUGUAUUUAUUCUGUUCCUAAGUCUAAUAAUGAGGUUCAAGUACUCUUUGCCAAGCAAAUAAUAUAUCAGUGAUCCAGCACCAUUGCCAUUGGUAAACUAUUGAAUCAUAAGUAAACCAUUAAGAUAUGAACAGACUGUCAGCACAGACACACCAUCUAUUGUUCUGGGUACUGCUAGAGAGUAGUCACUUAAUGGAUUGCAACCACAUGGUAUAUCAUGCAAGUGUAUAUCAUUUUCUAGUAAUACAUAUUAUAUGUAAUGUGUAUGUGGACAUCACUGACCAAACUGUGUUUUCAACAGUAGCCACCAAAAUGCAUAAAGCUCAAGAGAAAUAAUUUAACAUACCAACUGCUCCUGGUCCCCAGUAUUUCUUCAAUACAAAGCUAUAGCUUAUAGGACCUCCAAGAGAAAAAAAAAAUGAGGGUAGGGAGGAAAUAAUUUGAGGACAGAGGCUUUUCUUUCUAGUAUUCAAAACUGGAAGAGAUCCAGAGAUCCAUGGUGCCUCACCAGUGCUUGGAAAGCAGGUAUGGAGCCUGUGUCUUUUAAAAAGUUUCUAUCUUUAAAAUCCUUAGUUAAUGCUCAGAAGGCACAAGGAAACACGCCAAUCUGAUGUCUGAAAUUAAAAUGUACUGUCAUGUGUCUGUUGUCACAUCUGGCUCACAUAUAUGUUCACACAUUCUACAUAACCCAGUGCAGUGAUAUAUCACUGGGAAUUUUUCAUGGGAAACUCAAAACCAAAGAUAAAACAAAAAUUUAGCUUUAAAGUUUUCACCUAAAUGAUUAUGUUCUGUUUCUAGGCUAAUGUUAAAAUUAACUUUCACUCCCUGAGCAGGCAGUUAGCAAGAAUCAGCAACCGCAAAGUAAGCUAACAGGCAAAGGGAAGUCACUUUUGUAUUAAAAAUUUGCCAUUGCUGUUCAGCAGUUUUUCACACUGUGGAUUAUGUAUUUCAACAUAGCUGGCAAUUUCUCAUUAUAAUCGUGAAGCAGCCAUGAACACUCAGUGCUGGUGAAUAAGAAAGAAAAAGUCCAAGAAACACAUUUUUCAAGCAUUCUGCUGCAAAAUAUAUCAAACUUUCCUUCACGUAAGUUAAAUAGGUAACUCCUGAAGGCAUUUCAGUACAAAGAUUGGCAAGAAUUUACCCUAAAAGGAGCAUAAAGUUGGUUUGUGGGGUGGGAGGCAGGGAGACAAUGAGAGUACUAUAGAGGUGAGAUUUGGUAUGUGUCUUAAAUUAAUGAGAAAAAGAGUCUUUGGCAAAGCGUUGACAACCUCUGUUAUCAUUUUCAUUACUUGAUGUUUGCUAUCCCACAAUUAAAAGAGUGUUCUAUUUCCUUUCCUAUUGAUUAGUGUCCAGUAGUUGAGAUAUACGUGUUUUCCUUUGAAAGGUCAUUGAUUAAUUUUUCUUAUAAACUCUGCAUGUGAUCACUUUCGAUUGCUUUUCCGGGUGAUAACAAUGAAUCCUGAGAUUUUUGUUCACCUCUCCUAAAACUUGUGCCAUGUCUCUUGAUUCUCAUAAGCACAAAGAAAGAUUUAUUAGUUCUUUUUGUCUUGGGGUUCACACAGCUUGGUGACAAGAAGAAUGAGCAGAAAAACUGAUGGAAUUAGAAAAAUGGUGUCCUAAUAGGCAUCUAAAGAAAACAGAAAGGAGGAAGGACCUUUGUUUCGAUGACAAGCACCAUCUAGUGGCAGCAGGUGAUGACGACAUAAUGUCUCUAAGAAGAAUGAAGAUGAAAGUUUUCGAAUAGGUAGUCCAGGCAUUUCUGGUCGCUUAUAGGCAUGACAUUCUUUGAUUCUAAAACAAGAAGUUGUAUGUAGUAGAAUAAUGCAAUUGAUCGGCCCUGCGUUGAUUAUUGAAAGUAAGGUGCCGAUGUGACCUGCAGAUAGGAUUAUUAGCAUAGAAUUUUCUCAGUAUUUGUGUGACUGACUAGGUCCUUAAAGACUCUGUAUUUAAGUUUCCUCAUUACAUAAAAUAGGAAGAGUGAUGGCUUGUCACCAUAUGUUGUCUGUAAAGCACUGUGUUCAACAAAGAGCAGAAUCCAUAAAUAUAACUAUUAUAUUUGGAUUUUUUCACUAUUGGGAAAAAAGGUGAAAAAUAUUGUUGGAUGUUUCUCCUGGAGUUAUACAAAAUUAUAACAUUCAUAGGCAUUUCAUAUUGGGGCCUAAACAGAAAGGUGGUAGGAGAUAACAUUAUAGCUUGUUACUAUAAACGUCAAAGACUGAUCAGAGAUGUUUGUCAAUAUCAAGUCCUUUUUAAAUAGGUGGUUCAUUGGCGAAAGUCUGACCAACAUGUUGCUACACAGAAUAGAGAUUUUCUUUGUGCUGAUAUUUGUUUGGACUUGUAGUUGUUUGCAACAGAAUGAUCAUUAAAGUUGUCACUCUGUA